rnacentral:rRNA from 1 species
GCCUACGGGGGGCUGCAGUGGGGAAUAUUGCACAAUGGGGGAAACCCUGAUGCAGCAAUGCCGCGUGAAGGAUGAAGGUUUUCGGAUUGUAAACUUCUUUUGUACGGGACGAAGAAAGUGACGGUACCGUAAGAAUAAGCCACGGCUAACUACGUGCCAGCAGCCGCGGUAAUACGUAGGUGGCAAGCGUUAUCCGGAUUUACUGGGUGUAAAGGGCGAGUAGGCGGGAUUGCAAGUCAGAUGUGAAAACUAUGGGCUCAACCCAUAGACUGCAUUUGAAACUGCAGUUCUUGAGUGAUGGAGAGGCAGGCGGAAUUCCCGGUGUAGCGGUGGAAUGCGUAGAUAUCGGGAGGAACACCAGUGGCGAAGGCGGCCUGCUGGACUGCAACUGACGUUGAGGCUCGAAGGCGUGGGGAGCAAACAGGAUUAGAUACCCCAGUAGUCCCC